rnacentral:rRNA from 1 species
GACGAACGCUGGCGGCGUGCUUAACACAUGCAAGUCGAGCGGUAAGGCCCUUUCGGGGGUACACGAGCGGCGAACGGGUGAGUAACACGUGGGUGACCUGCCCUCAGCUCUGGGAUAAGCCUGGGAAACCGGGUCUAAUACCGGAUAUGACUCCAUGACGCAUGUUGUGGGGUGAAAGCCUUGUGCGGCUGAGGAUGGGCCCGCGGCCUAUCAGCUUGUUGGUAGGGGUGAUGGCCUACCAAGGCGACGACGGGUAGCCGGCCUGAGAGGGCGACCGGCCACACUGGGACUGAGACACGGCCCAGACUCC